GCCAGCUGCAAAUUCACACUACAUUAUUUCCAGUAUCGAUUCCAACUAUUUAUCAUUUGUUAUUUGAUUAUUUUACAUUAUUUAUGGGUGCUCCAUGAACGUUUGAGGGUCUUUGAUUGUGUGUCGUAUUUUGUUAUAACAUUUAAUCAAGUAUGCUGCUGCUGCUUGCCAACAUAUCUUGAUAAUUGUCCCGUUUAUAGCCACCUCAUAGUGAAAUGCAAUUUAAUUUAUGCGAUUAUUACCUCAAAGCGGAUUAAGCAGCCCAGCAGUGGAAAGCAGUGGACAAACAGGGCUAAAUGGUGGCAUCUCUCAUGAUUAAUAUAUUUUCCGGCAGGUGAAAAUCAACCCAGAACGAAUCAAUUCCGUUUAAUUAAUUAACUGAAAUUAUCAAUGAAAAUUUAUGAAAUAUAUAUGCAUCUGGUGUCUGUCUGACCAUAUAAUACCACUUUACGCUCAUUAGGACCAAAGAGUGUUUCUUCACGGCGACACAGGGCCAGGUCUCAUUAGGUUGUGGCAGAUUUGAGGCGUGCUCUCUGACCUAAGCACGUCUGUAGCUUUCUAUCAUUGAUCUGUCGUCUAAGAACUGUCACAUAACUGACAAAGCAAUGUACACUAUUUUGAAUAACUUUUGAGGAUAUUGUAGGCACCGAACAUACUCUAAAAGAGUCGUUUGACGCAUACCUUCUACUUUCUAUAGCUUUUUGGGUUAGUUUUCACAUCCUCUAGGUCCUUCCUCUAGGUCUAUUUCAUGUGCAAUUGUCCAAAGUCGUAAAAAAACAAUCAAAUGUAAUGGGAUUUCUUCAGGGUUCUAGUGCUCACAUUCCAGGCUUUCCAAAAAAAGUAUCAUUUGUUCCAUUUGGAACAAUGAAAAUGUCCCAAAAUGAGCUUUGAAAGUGGUGACGUGUGGCAUACAGCUAUCUACGCGUUGAAGGCCAGACAGCUACAGGUAAUGAAAACUGCAGUUGGCUCGCACGUAUACGUAUUUACGUAUACGCCAUGUGGUGCAGCCGUAAAAUGAAUAGUCGAAAAGCCAAACAAAAGAUAGAACCGUAAAGCCUCAAGAGAGACAUGAAGAAAAGCUCUCGACAAUAAGAUACCCGGUAGUCAUUGCCGAAGGCCGUAUUAAAACCCACUCUUAAAUGAUCAGCCACUCUGGGAGAGGUACAUCGAGAGUUUCUUACGAAAAUCCACCCUUAAGUAUGAGAGAGUGACAGAGAAAGCCCAUCCGUAGAUGCUCAGUCACUCUGGGAGAGGUAGAGUGAAAGUGAGUUACGAAAACCCACCCUUAAGUGUGAGAGAGUGACAGAGAAAGCCCAUCCGUAGAUGCUCAGCCACUCUGGGAGAGGUGGAGUGAGAGGGGAGCUCUGGAAAUUUGUUCUGCCUUAUUCUUAACCCUGUAAUUAUCUAUCUACAAUGAUUUCUGUUGUAUAAAUAGAUAGUAGCACUACUAAUAGAUCACCCAAGAAUAUAUAUGGAGGUCGAUAGCCUUUCAUUCUGUCUGCCUCUUGCCUAGACUUGCACGAGUUCAAUAUACCCCGUGCACACUCUGUGGAGGAGGUACCGGGUAUACAAAACUAAUCAAAUGUGGAAUAAUAACGAGGCAGAUGAUGAUGAUGAUGACUGGCACGACGCACGGGUUCAAGAACGUUCAUUCGGCAUGAACUUGCAAAGGCCGUAAAGUCCGUGCAAUAGAAGUGAAUGCACUCGACCAGAAGCAGCAGCGGCAGCGGCAGCAGCAGCGAAACGGCAGCAAUUUCGAGCUGAUUCCUGGCGCUGCAACCGCAAUUUAAACUAAUAACUUGCAACAACAACAACAACAACAGCCACCAUCAGUAGCGACAGCAGCAACAAGCAACCAGCAAUCCGCAACAAUGGCAAUGACAAUAAUUUAUUUUUGAAUUAAUUUUUAUUCGUUUUGCUAAACAAGCACACAUGUGUACAUGUGUACAUCUGUACAUGUGCCUACUUGUGCCAUCAGCUGCAACAAUAGAGAUACUCGUAUUUGCAUGCACAUUCGCGCAUAUGCACUUUUCAACCACAGACUCUCGGCUCCGUGCCACACAGUGGUUCCGAGUGCUGCGACCAAGAGAAAGGCAGAACUCGGCUUGGCAAGCAUUUGGACUAAUUAAUUUUUUGAGUAUUUAUUUGGAAAGUCAUUAAACCAAUUAAAUCCCAUAGCUUUAGGGGAGGUUUUUCGAACGAGUUCUGUGCUAGUUUUGAGCUCAGUUUAGCGCCAUAUCUGCAGUGCCCUAGAAACGCCAUUUCCCAUUCCGCUAAACUGAGCUCAAAACUAGCACAGAAUUUAAUGGGAAACCUAUAAAAUCUGUAUAUAUAUGUAAGUUCGUGAAAUCGAU